AACUUUGGAAGCAACAGGAGCUGUAAUUAAAGAUUUUUCAAGCCAAUAUCAUCACGAAUCACGGGUGAUUAAUUUAUUAACAAGAGAUCCUUCCCUCGUUUGGUUUACUCACGUAACCGAAAAACUUCCUCAGUGGGUUAUCUUUGAAUUGCUUGCGCUUUCUAAAGUUCAUCGCGUUGGAAUAUUUUUACAUGGCGAAAACAAUCAAAAUCCAAAGCAUCUUCAAGUUUACUUCUCGCUGGACGGAAUUAAUUACAAAAUUAUCGUAGAUUCGCCGCUCGAGCACCGAGCCGGCGACUUUUUGUAUGAUCUCCAUUGCCCAAUGGAGACUAAGUUUGUCAAAUACGUGAUUACAGAAAAUUUUGGAGGGAGUGGAAUUUACGUUUCAAAGUGUUUCUGUUUUGGUGUUCCUGUUUAAAAGUU